GAUGAACGCUGGCGGCGUGCUUAACACAUGCAAGUCGAGCGAAGCGCUUACGACAGAACCUUCGGGGAAAGAUGUAAGGGACUGAGCGGCGGACGGGUGAGUAACGCGUGGGUAACCUGCCUCAUACAGGGGGAUAACAGUUGGAAACGGCUGCUAAUACCGCAUAAGCGCACAGUAUCGCAUGAUACAGUGUGAAAAACUCCGGUGGUAUGAGAUGGACCCGCGUCUGAUUAGCUAGUUGGAGGGGUAACGGCCCACCAAGGCGACGAUCAGUAGCCUGCCUGAGAGGGUGAACGGCCACAUUGGGACUGAGACACGGCCCAGACUCCUACGGGAGGCAGCAGUGGGGAGUAUUGCACAAUGGGGGAAACCCUGAUGCAGCGACGCCGCGUGAAGGAAGAAGUAUCUCGGUAUGUAAACUUCUAUCAGCAGGGAAGAAAAUGACGGUACCUGACUAAGAAGCCCCGGCUAACUACGUGCCAGCAGCCGCGGUAAUACGUAGGGGGCAAGCGUUAUCCGGAUUUACUGGGUGUAAAGGGAGCGUAGACGGAAGAGCAAGUCUGAUGUGAAAGGCUGGGGCUUAACCCCAGGACUGCAUUGGAAACUGUUUUUCUUGAGUGCCGGAGAGGUAAGCGGAAUUCCUAGUGUAGCGGUGAAAUGCGUAGAUAUUAGGAGGAACACCAGUGGCGAAGGCGGCUUACUGGACGGUAACUGACGUUGAGGCUCGAAAGCGUGGGGAGCAAACAAGAUUAGAUACCCUGGUAGUCCACGCCGUAAA
rnacentral:rRNA from 1 species